rnacentral:tRNA from 1 species
CCUUCGAUAGCUCAGUUGGUAGAGCGGAGGACUGUAGUGGUUGAGCAGAGAUCCUUAGGUCGCUGGUUCAAAUCCGGCUCGAAGGA